rnacentral:rRNA from 1 species
GGUGGAGCCUGCGGUUUAAUCGGACUCAACGCCGGGAAACUCACCAGAUAAGACAGCUGAAUGAUAGUCGGGCUGAAGACUCUACUUGACUAGCUGAGAGGAGGUGCAUGGCCGUCGUCAGUUCGUACUGUGAAGCAUCCUGUUAAGUCAGGCAACGAGCGAGACCCACGCCAACAGUUGCCAGCUCGUCCUCCGGGAUGGUGGGGACACUGUUGGGACCGCUCUGCUAAAGAGGAGGAAGGAAUGGGCAACGGUAGGUCAGCAUGCCCCGAAUUAUCUGGGCUACACGCGGGCUACAAUGGGUGGGACAAUGGGUAUCGACACCGGAAGGUGAAGGCAAUCUCCUAAACCCAUCCGUAGUUCGGAUUGUGGGCUGCAACUCGCCCACAUGAAGCUGGAAUCUGUAGUAAUCGUGUCUCAAAAUGGCACGGUGAAUAUGUCCCUGCUCCUU